GCUGGGCAUGAUGGCACAUGCCUGUAGUCCCAGCUACUUGGGAGGCUGAGGCAGGAGGAUCACUUGAGCUCAGGAGUUUGAGGCUUCAGUGAGCUAGGAUCGUGCCACUGCACUCCACCCUGGGUGACAGAGUGAGACCUUGUCUCUA
rnacentral:SRP_RNA from 1 species